UACAGAGGGGGCAAGCGUUAUUCGGAAUUAUUGGGCGUAAAGGGCGCGUAGGCGGCUUUUCAAGUGACGGGUGAAAUCCCUCGGCUUAACCGAGGAACUGCCUGUCAGACUGGAAGGCUUGAGACCGGGAGAGGUGAGUGGAAUUCCCAGUGUAGCGGUGAAAUGCGUAGAUAUCUGGAGGAACACCGGUGGCGAAGGCGGCAUCCUGGACCGGCAGUUGACGCUGAGGCGCGAAAGCCAGGGGAGCAAACGGG
rnacentral:rRNA from 1 species